CCCUCGGGUUGUAAAGCACUUUCAGCGAGGAAGAACGCCUAGCGGUUAAUACCCGGUAGGAAAGACAUCACUCGCAGAAGAAGCACCGGCUAACUCCGUGCCAGCAGCCGCGGUAAUACGGAGGGUGCAAGCGUUAAUCGGAAUUACUGGGCGUAAAGCGCGCGUAGGUGGCUUGAUAAGCCGGUUGUGAAAGCCCCGGGCUCAACCUGGGAACGGCAUCCGGAACUGUCAAGCUAGAGUGCAGGAGAGGAAGGUAGAAUUCCCGGUGUAGCGGUGAAAUGCGUAGAGAUCGGGAGGAAUACCAGUGGCGAAGGCGGCCUUCUGGACUGACACUGACACUGAGGUGCGAAAGCGUGGGUAACAAACAGGAUUAGAUACCCUGGUAGUCCACGCCGUAAACGAUGUCGACCAGCCGUUGGGUGCCUAGCGCACUUUGUGGCGAAGUUAACGCGAUAAGUCGACCGCCUGGGGAGUACGGCCGCAAGGUUAAAACUCAAAUGAAUUGACGGGGGCCCGCACAAGCGGUGGAGCAUGUGGUUUAAUUCGAUGCAACGCGAAGAACCUUACCUACUCUUGACAUCCUGCAAAUUUGGUAGAGAUACCUUAGUGCCUUCGGGAACGCAGAGACAGGUGCUGCAUGGCUGUCGUCAGCUCGUGUUGUGAAAUGUUGGGUUAAGUCCCGUAACGAGCGCAACCCUUGUCCUUAUUUGCCAGCGCGUAAUGGCGGGAACUCUAAGGAGACUGCCGGUGACAAACCGGAGGAAGGUGGGGACGACGUCAAGUCAUCAUGGCCCUUACGAGUAGGGCUACACACGUGCUACAAUGGUCGGUACAAAGGGUUGCCAACUCGCGAGAGUGAGCCAAUCCCAUAAAGCCGAUCUCAGUCCGGAUCGGAGUCUGCAACUCGACUCCGUGAAGUCGGAAUCGCUAGUAAUCGUGGAUCAAAAUGCCACGGUGAAUACGUUCCCGGGCCUUGUACA
rnacentral:rRNA from 1 species